rnacentral:sRNA from 1 species
GCCAGGUGUGGUGGCACAUGCCUGUAAUCCCAGCAGCUCCGGGAGGCUGAGACAGGAGGAUUGCAAGUUCGAGCCUCAGCAAUUUAGCAAGACCCUAAGGAACUUAGCAAGACUCUGUCUCAA